AUAACGCUGGCGGCAGGCCUAACACAUGCAAGUCGAGCGGUAGAGAGAAGCUUGCUUCUCUUGAGAGCGGCGGACGGGUGAGUAAUGCCUAGGAAUCUGCCUGGUAGUGGGGGAUAACGUCCGGAAACGGACGCUAAUACCGCAUACGCCCUACGGGGGAAAGCAGGGGAUCUUCGGACCUUGCGCUAUCAGAUGAGCCUAUGUCGGAUUAGCUUGUUGGUGAGGUAACGGCUCACCAAGGCGACGAUCCGUAGCUGGUCUGAGAGGAUGAUCAGCCACACUGGGACUGAGACACGGCCCAGACUCCUACGGGAGGCAGCAGUGGGGAAUAUUGGACAAUGGGCGCAAGCCUGAUCCAGCCAUGCCGCGUGUGUGAAGAAGGCCUUCGGGUUGUAAAGCACUUUCAGCGAGGAGGAAAGGGGUGUUGCUAAUAUCAACGCCCUGUGACGUUACUCGCAGAAGAAGCACCGGCUAACUCCGUGCCAGCAGCCGCGGUAAU
rnacentral:rRNA from 1 species